UCACACCUGCUGAGGGACUCCGGCAUUUUGGCCAACCACCGAGAUGAAGAAGAUUUUCAACACCGUGCACGACCGACAGUUGUGACAGACGAAGUGGGGGCCAGGGUACUUCAUCACUGCAAAAAGGCCGCAGAGUGGGUCGAAACAAACCAACACUUGUUUUCAGCCAAGGUGGAGUUUCCCUGUGUCCUCACUGUGGGAGAGGAAGAACUGGAAGAGGCUGUGAGGCAGUACAGAAGGCUUUGGGAUGAAAAAGAACGUUGCCAUCUCGAUGACCAGGAGACAGAAGCAAUCCUUGACCAUUUCAAAUUUAAAUUCGAAAAAAGUGAAGAUAUGGGUCUUUUGUGAGGAGAUUGCUGACAACAUGACCUACACUGAAUGUGAAAUGAAGGAGUAGGCUAAUAAGGAUGGGUUGUGAUAUUGGAUUUAAGGCUAACAAUGUUUAAUAAAAGGCUGAAUAGAAGCGA